GUGAUCAUCAAAGGGAGUAGUUCGGUUACGGUCGUUCUAUUCCUGGUCAUGUCUUUCACUAUACUUGGAAGACAGUUUAUUCUUAACUGAAUAGACUGAUCGAAAACAAGUGAUAAACCUUGAAAAAAUUAGAGUGCUCAAAGCAAGCUUUGGCCUUGAAUUUUAAAGCAUGGAAUUGAGGAAGAGGACCAUUAUGGUCGUGAACCAUUUUGGUAAUGAUUAAAAGGAACAGACGGGGGCAUACGUAUUGCUCGGGGAGGGGUGAAAUCCGUAGAUCCCAGCAAGACGACCUACUGCGAAAGCAUUUGCCAAGAAUGUUUUCAUUAAUCAAGAACGAAAGUUAGAGUAUUAAAGAGGAUUAGAUACCCUCGUAAUUCUAACCUUAAACGAUACCACCCUAAUCUUAGCCAAUGUAAUUUAUUACUU
rnacentral:rRNA from 1 species